AUUGAACGCUGGCGGUAUGCCUUACACAUGCAAGUCGAACGGUAGAGGGGCAACCCUUGAGAGUGGCGAACGGGUGAGUAAUACAUCGGAACGUGCCCAGUCGUGGGGGAUAACGUAGCGAAAGCUACGCUAAUACCGCAUACGACCUGAGGGUGAAAGCGGGGGAUCGCAAGACCUCGCGCGAUUGGAGCGGCCGAUGGCAGAUUAGGUAGUUGGUGGGGUAAAGGCCUACCAAGCCUGCGAUCUGUAGCUGGUCUGAGAGGACGACCAGCCACACUGGGACUGAGACACGGCCCAGACUCCUACGGGAGGCAGCAGUGGGGAAUUUUGGACAAUGGGCGAAAGCCUGAUCCAGCCAUACCGCGUGCGGGAAGAAGGCCUUCGGGUUGUAAACCGCUUUUGUCAGGGAAGAAAUCUUCUGGGCUAAUACCUCGGGAGGAUGACGGUACCUGAAGAAUAAGCACCGGCUAACUACGUGCCAGCAGCCGCCGUAACAC
rnacentral:rRNA from 1 species